AGUGAACGCUGGCGGUAGGCCUAACACAUGCAAGUCGAACGGCAGCACAGUAAGAGCUUGCUCUUACGGGUGGCGAGUGGCGGAUGGGUGAGGAAUACAUCGGAAUCUACUUUUUCGUGGGGGAUAACGUAGGGAAACUUACGCUAAUACCGCAUACGACCUACGGGUGAAAGCAGGGGAUCUUCGGACCUUGCGCGAUUGAAUGAGCCGAUGUCGGAUUAGCUAGUUGGCGGGGUAAAGGCCCACCAAGGCGACGAUCCGUAGCUGGUCUGAGAGGAUGAUCAGCCACACUGGAACUGAGACACGGUCCAGACUCCUACGGGAGGCAGCAGUGGGGAAUAUUGGACAAUGGGCGCAGGCCUGAUCCAGCCAUACCGCGUGGGUGAAGAAGGCCUUCGGGUUGUAAAGCCCUUUUGUUGGGAAAGAAAAGCAGCAGGUUAAUACCCCGCUGUUCUGACGGUACCCAAAGAAUAAGCACCGGCUAACUUCGUG
rnacentral:rRNA from 1 species